CAGGGCUUGAACUUGCAACCCUCCUGCUUCAGGCUCCCAGGAUGUUGGAUUACAGGUAUAUCUCACUAUGCCUGGUUCUUUUUAUUUUUAGAUUUGAGACAGGGUCUCCCUAAAUUGCCCAGGAUGGAUUAUAAUUUGAGAUCUUUCUGCCUCAGCAUUUUAAGUAACUGGGGUUACAGGCAUGCAGCACUGUGCUGAACCAAAGUAUUUUUUAAGGAAAGCUUUAUAUGGCAUACAGUAGUCUCCCCCUUAUCCAUAGGAUGCAUCUCCCAAACCCUCUGUGUACGCCUGGAACCACUGAAGUGGCCGACUCUGUAUAUGUGGCACCACAAGGGACCAAACUCACAUGCUUACUGGAUGUAGUUGGGCUGCAGAUGACAAGGACUCAGACACCACAGCCUGGAAAGCUCAUGAUUCCUCCCUCACUGGAGUCGAACUAUAACAAUGACUUAGAGGCUGCUUUUGCAACAACAACAACAACAACAACAACAAAACUGGAUGUUUCACUUGGGCCUGAAAAUGUCCAAUUGUAACUAAAAGAAGGAUAAAAACUUGGCAUUUUGGCCUCCAAUUUACACCUAUUUACUUUGCCCUGAGUCAUUCUCUGCAGUCAUCUUGGAUUCCAGGAUUUGAUGGGUAAAGAUCUCAUGACAGGAGUCAAGGCUACUCCCCCAGGCUCUGGUAACUUUCUUACGGCUGACAAGGGCCUCUUCUGAACAUCCUGAGGCAAUGAUCAAUGAUACCACAGUUUGACCAAGACUGAUUAACCCUACUUCCUUCCCUUCCCUAUUUGAAUAUGAAGCUCUUCAUAGUACCCCAAAGACAG
rnacentral:lncRNA from 1 species